rnacentral:lncRNA from 1 species
UACCUCUUUUCUUUUGCUUGUUAUUUUCUUUGAAUAAGAAGAUUGAAAGUUUCUGAAUAUUGUGAAGUGAAUUAUGGAAUGGAAAUAUGAUUGGUAUUAUUUGAGAAGAAUAAAGAUUGAAUGCUGAAAUCUUAUUGUAGUUCAGCAGAGAGAAUGAGUCUGUGUUUGUGUGAAACACUGUAAUAUGAAUGGCAGUUCUAUGUGAAGAAUUCCAGUGAUUGGAACGAGGGUAAUUGUGUACUAAAAGCUAUGAGGGAGCAAUAUUACAGUUGGAGAUUAUGAGGGUGAAUAUAUUGGUGGAAAUAGCAGUUAUUGGUAUGACUGAAUUGUUGUAAGGAAGAGACCGAUAAGGUGAAGGAGAAGAUUAUAGUUUCUUUGUGUAUUCAGAUAUUGGAAAUAGAGACGAUACAUUCAAGAGAUAAUUGAUUGUGUGAUCUUAACGUGAAUGCUUAAGCAACUAGUCAUUCUCCGUGUUCGAAUCCC